rnacentral:rRNA from 1 species
UACGGAGGGGGCGAGCGUUAUUCGGAAUUAUUGGGCGUAAAGGGCGCGUAGGCGGCUUGAUGUGUCAAAGGUGAAAUCCCUCGGCUCAACUGAGGAACUGCCUUUGAAACUGUCUGGCUUGAGGCCGGGAGAGGGUAGCGGAAUUCCCAGUGUAGCGGUGAAAUGCGUAGAUACCGGGAGGAACACCGGUGGCGAAGGCGGCUACCUGGACCGGUUCUGACGCUGAUGCGCGAAAGCGUGGGUAGCAAACAGG